GGAGUCUGGACCGUGUCUCAGUUCCAAUGUGGGGGACCUUCCUCUCAGAACCCCUACCCAUCGUCGCCUCGGUGGGCCGUUACCCCGCCUACUACCUAAUCAGACGCAUCCCCAUCCCAUAGCGAUGAAUCUUUGGUAUUACUCAGAUGUCCUCAUAAUACAACAUAGGGCAUUAAUCCGACUUUCGCCGGGCUAUUCCCUACUAUGGGGAAGGUUGGAUACGCGUUACUCACCCGUGCGCCGGUCGCCAUCAAAGUUUGCAAGCAAACUUCAUGCUGCCCCUCGACUUGCAUGUGUUAAGCCUGUAGCUAGCGCUCAUC
rnacentral:rRNA from 1 species